AGAGCGAACGCUGGCGGCAGGCCUAACACAUGCAAGUCGAGCGGCCGUAGCAAUACGGCAGCGGCAGACGGGAGAGUAACACGUGGGAACGCGCCCUUCGGUUCGGGAUAACUCAGGGAAACUUGGGCUAAUACCGGAUACGCCCUUACGGGGAAAGAUUUAUUGCCGAAGGAACGGCCCGCGUCCGAUUAGCUUGUUGGUGAGGUAACGGCUCACCAAGGCGACGAUCGGUAGCUGGUCUGAGAGGAUGACCAGCCUCACUGGGACUGAGACACGGCCCAGACUCCUACGGGAGGCAGCAGUGGGGAAUAUUGGACAAUGGGCGCAAGCCUGAUCCAGCCAUGCCGCGUGGGUGAUGAAGGCCCUAGGGUUGUAAAGCCCUUUCAGCGGGGAAGAUAAUGACGGUACCGCAGAAGAAGCCCGGCUAACUUGUGCCAGCAGCCGC
rnacentral:rRNA from 1 species